rnacentral:rRNA from 1 species
AACGAACGCUGGCGGCAUGCCUAACACAUGCAAGUCGAACGAGACCUUCGGGUCUAGUGGCGCACGGGUGCGUAACGCGUGGGAACCUGCCCUUAGGUUCGGAAUAACUCCCCGAAAGGGGUGCUAAUACCGGAUAAUGUCUUCGGACCAAAGAUUUAUCGCCUUUGGAUGGGCCCGCGUUGGAUUAGCUAGUUGGUAGGGUAAAAGCCUACCAAGGCGAGGAUCCAUAGCUGGUCUGAGAGGAUGAUCAGCCACACUGGGACUGAGACACGGCCCAGACUCCUACGGGAGGCAGCAGUAGGGAAUAUUACACCAUGGGCAAAAGACUGAUGCAGCAAGGCCGCGUGAGUGAUGAAGACAUUGGGGUUGUAAAGUGCUUUUACACGCGAUGAUAAUGACAGUACCGGGAGAAUAAGCACCGGCUAACUCCGUG